UGGGGAAUAUUGCACAAUGGGCGCAAGCCUGAUGCAGCCAUGCCGCGUGUGUGAAGAAGGCCUUCGGGUUGUAAAGCACUUUCAGCGAGGAGGAAGGUGGUGAGCUUAAUACGCUCAUCAAUUGACGUUACUCGCAGAAGAAGCACCGGCUAACUCCGUGCCAGCAGCCGCGGUAAUACGGAGGGUGCAAGCGUUAAUCGGAAUUACUGGGCGUAAAGCGCACGCAGGCGGUUUGUUAAGUCAGAUGUGAAAUCCCCGGGCUCAACCUGGGAACUGCAUUUGAAACUGGCAAGCUAGAGUCUCGUAGAGGGGGGUAGAAUUCCAGGUGUAGCGGUGAAAUGCGUAGAGAUCUGGAGGAAUACCGGUGGCGAAGGCGGCCCCCCUGGACGAAGACUGACGCUCAGGUGCGAAAGCGUGGGGCAGCAAACAGGAUUAGAUACCCUGGUAGUCCAGCGCUGUAAACGAUGUCGAUUUGGAGGUUGUGCCCUUGAGGCGUGGCUUCCGGAGCUAACGCGUUAAAUCGACCGCCUGGGGAGUACGGCCGCAAGGUUAAAACUUAAAGGAAUUGACGGGGUCAUAGCUG
rnacentral:rRNA from 1 species